GGACCCGCACAAGCGGUGGAGUAUGUGGUUUAAUUCGAUGCAACACGAAGAACCUUACCAGGGUUUGAAAUCAUUCAAACUCCUUGAAAGAGGAGCCUCCUUCGGGAUGAAAUGACAGGUGGUGCAUGGCUGUCGUCAGCUCGUGUUGUGAAAUGUCGAGUUAAGUCUCGUAACGAGCGCAACCCAUGUCUCUUGUUGCUCACUGAGUGCUUAAGAGAGACUGCCGACCAACAUCGGAGGAAGGUGUGGAUGAUGUCAAGUCAGCAUGCCCCUUACAUCCUGGGCUACACACGUACUACAAUGGUAGGGACAAUGAGCUGCGAUCCUGCGAAGGCUAG
rnacentral:rRNA from 1 species